AGCACUGUAAUAUCUGAAUGCCUUCCAGUAAUGCACUAAGCAAUGUGACUAUGCAUCUGUGACAGGGUGUACCAGGCCUUUUGUGGCCUUGGUGGAGACCCUGUGAUCCUAAAAUAUCCUGCUCCAGGAAGGAGCAGCAGAGGUGGGUCCUCCAGGCCUCAUGGAAACAGUCAAUCAAAGGCCAGCUGUCUCAGAUAAAAGGAGCUGCAGGUCCUGAGCAGGCUAUUACCAUUUGAAUUUGUAGGAUGCCAGAGUUCUCCUGUUUUGGAUGAAACAUAGGUUUGCUCCUGGCAGCCUUGAAAGGAUGGAGACUUGAGGAGCAAACAUUAGAGUCAGAAAUUCUGCUAGAGCUUAUCCUGAGGAUAAUCCAUUCAACACUGUACUUGGCCAAGAGUCCGCUUUUGGCUCCGGAAUCUCUUCUAGCAGCAGUAUACAAGAGUCUAUGCGGAGGAAGAGAGAGUGCUGGGAAUUCCAAGGAAGGCUGUGAGCUAGGCUGGAUUCCCCCUGCUCAUGGUGUAGCAUCAUCCUAUAUUCAUCCCUCGGAAGAAGAGCCUACACUAUAUGUCCAUAACUCAAUGUAAGGCAUGAUAACCUGGUGUUCAGUAUGGGAAGGACACAAGCAAAAACAUAUAUACACUGAGGAUGCUUGCAACUGCUCCGCAGCUUGCUCAAAGGAGGCAACAGGGGGUAUAAGCACUACUCAUUGGUGGCCAAGUUGAAAUGUAGGAACAUGGGGCUUUUGCAUUGACAUGGGAAAAGACAUACUACUACCUGUCCUCUUAUGUCUGCCUAGGCACUUUAUGGGGCUCACCUCACUGGUGUAUCUGAGCUGUCAGAGCUGGAGAGGGUAUUAACCUAAAUGCAAAUUAAUGAAAGGAAUUGGAGGUGUUGGAUCCUCCUCAGUUUGUUUUGGAAUAUCAUGUACUUCCUCCCUCACCACCCAAGGAGAGGCUACUUGCCCUUUCUCAAGGAGAGGAAGUAAGGCCAUUUGUGGAAUAACAGCGCUUCCCUCAGCUGCUACACCUACUGAGCCUCUGCUGUUCAAAGGCCUGAACAACUACAGUGAGUGAAAGAGCAAGGAUCAAAUAGCUUGUUAAAUUUUCUUUCUAGUGUUUCAUCAAUCAUUGCGCUAAGGAUCCUGGUUUAUGAAAGAGAUUGUUCCAGACCUGGACCUUCCUGGAGGUCAAGGUUGUUUGGGUGGGUCUAGGAUUAGAUACAUAGGGGCCAAUUCAGAUCUCUUACACUGGGGUAAGAUAUUGAAGUGAACAGAUUUGCUCUGGUGUAAGUGAGGUUGGAAAUGGACCCAGAUGUUUCUUCAUACUUCAUGUACAUGCCAAGCCCGUUAUUCUAUCCAAUGCCAUAAAAAUGCCGAUAGAGCAAUUUUCCUUUGAAAACCAUGUCGAAAAAGGGAAAAUAUUCCAGAAAUCAAAAGCUCCCGCUGCACAAUGCCGUCAUUCCUUCUGACUUUUAUUGCUUUUCUUCUACUGCAGCUACAGAAAACUUAUUUAAACUAUGAAACUUCUUUGGCGUUUAUAUUGAUGCUUUAUAUUGAUGAAACAGAGCUGACUUUCUCUGGAGAACCAGAAUGUUAUCAAAGCACUUAACCUACCAUUGCUGUGGCUAUCAAUUAUACCCUUCAUUUACACUAUACAAGGCUGAUGGCUUAUUUGAAGUUCAGGAGGUUUUUAUAAUGAGAUGUUAAUUGAGUACACCUGCAGUUGGCUAAAAUUUUCAUGGACAAUUAAGUGUAAUCAUUUCAUUUCCCAAAUCUUUUCUGGUUUGCUAGAUUCCUACACUACAUUUCUGUAGGGGGUGGGUGGGGUGAAGGAUGAAUGUACAGUGCAAAUGUAAUCAAUGCCCACAACUUAUGAUCUGUGCUAUAAGUUUGACAUUAAUUCUUCUCCCUCCAUAUGAAUGGACUUGAUAUGAGCUGGAGACUCAUGACUUAGUAGUCUAAGCAGCUGCACUGAAACAGCUACACACUGUGCAACCAAAGGUUCAAACCCAGGCAGGACCAACUCAGCCUUUCUUCUGAGGCAGGUAUAUUGAGUACUUUUAAGGUCUCUUCAGAAAGAGACACAGAGCAAACUGCAAAGCCCAAGUCCUGUCUUUACUACAUAGAAGUUUGAAAAUUGGGUGGUACUACAAGAAAAUUAAAGAUUUUCCCUGCUGCCCUUGAUCAAAAGUCUCCCCACAACUGCAGAGCGUGCUGCCUGUCAUCCCGACUCAUUUGGCUGCUUUGCAGUGGAUCUGAACUGGCACCUCUCUAUUUUGUGUAGUCUUUGGGAUGGAAGGUGCUGUGAAAAGGCUACAUUUUAUUGCUCCAAAUAUUGAACUGCCACGUCUGACUGUACUGAACUUAUCAAAACAGGAGGUAAAAAUAGAAUCUGCUGUGCAGUGGUUUAUAUCAUGGGUUUAAGGCAUAAGCCAUUUGGCUCCAUCUUUCCUGGAUAAACUUUAUGAAAGCGCUACGGCCUUGAGUCUGAGCAAACAGUGGCAUUAUUCUUGCACAAGUAAAAAAAAAAAAAAAAAGAUCUGCCCUUAAUGCAGACGAAAUUUUAUUUCUGGACCUCCUGAGCAAUUCUGCAAUUCAUCACAUCUGAACGAGCUUGCCAUGAACUAAAAGGCGGGUGGGGGGAAUCAAGUCACCGGAGCAGAAAUAAAAUCAAAACACCACUUUAGUCUGUAAAAUGCCAGCUUCACACAGACAGAAACAUUAACAAGUUAGCUAAAGCAAACAAUUUCUUUAAGUAUCUAAGAGCUGCAUUUAAGGAAUUUCAGAGAAACUAAAAUUAAAAAAAAAUAGCCUCCAUUGGCAGGGAAUAGUCAAACCUUCCAUCUGUCCACCCCUUCAUUACCAGCUCAGAUGGUUAAAGUUCAAAAACAUUAGUGACUCCAACACUUGCUGCCUGGAAGAAUCUGUUAAUUCCAGGACUCCAGCUCUGAAAAUUAAUAACAUCUAUUUUAGACUUACCUGUAUCUAAUACAA